rnacentral:rRNA from 1 species
CCUACGGGAGGCAGCAGUGGGGAAUAUUGGGCAAUGGACGCAAGUCUGACCCAGCAACGCCGCGUGAAGGAAGAAGGCUCUCGGGUUGUAAACUUCCUUUAAGGGGGAAGAGCAGAAGACGGUACCUCUCGAAUAAGCCACGGCUAACUACGUGCCAGCAGCCGCGGUAAUACGGAGGUGGCAAGCGUUGUCCGGAUUUACUGGGUGUAAAGGGCGUGCAGCCGGAGAGACAAGUCAGAUGUGAAAUCUACGGGCUCAACCCGUGAUCUGCAUGUGAAACUGUUUCCCUUGAGUGUCGGAGAGGUAAUCGGAAUUCCUGGUGUAGCGGUGAAAUGCGUAGAUAUAAGGAAGAACACUAGUGGCGAAGGCAGAAUACUGGACGAUAACUGACGGUGAGGCGCGAAAGCGUGGGGAGCGAACAGGAUUAGAUACCCCAGUAGUC